CAAAACAGUCGCCUCCACAGCCCUCUCUCUUCUCUCACCAGAAAAUAAUAACCACAUCAACCCACCCCGCCGCCUCUCACUAGUCGGCGGAACCCCACUUUCCUUCUGUUCUUUCUCUUUCUCCGGCGACUUCACCAAAUGAACGUCGUUUAACAAACAAAACCCCACAAUAGACACUGCUUCCACCACCGGCGAAUCCAAGCCAGCUGCACCUCUGCCAAAACAAUACCGGAGCUCCGUAGGCAAACCCAACAAAAAAACCACUAUCGUCGCUGCUCCAUCAACGAAAACAUCUUGCUAUCUGGCACGUGAGAUUUUUAGUACUUGAAUUUCCAAAAAACCACCGUCGUAAGGUAAUAAAGAUGUGACUUUUUCUUUGCAAACUGUUUUGCCUACAAGAUGAACUUGAAUAUCAGUAGUUGACCAUUCUAAUUAGGAGUUAGGACAACAAUUUAAACAUUUUUUAAAAUUAUUAAUUUUUUACUGAAUAUGGUUUGUAAGGAUGGAGACUGAAAGUUGUGUAUUUGGCUAAAUAAAUUAUGUAUGAUGAAAGAUCUGUUUAAAAUCCCUAUUUUUCUCCAUUUGGGAGUCCAGUAAGCAUGGUAUAUUGAUUAUAAGAAUAAGAAAAGGAAUUCAGCUAAAGUAUAUUUAACAAGAUCAAGUGAUUUUUUUUACUCUAUUCUAGAGUUUUAGCUCUUCUAUGUUGACACAGACCUUCUAUAUCUCUUCUCAUUUGUAACAUGAUUAUUAAUUGUUUUCCAUUCUAAUUUAUGUGGCAUAGUUUAAAUUGAUACAAGUUUAAGUUAAAAUUAAAGAUGUUUCAAGCUUUUUUAAUAGAGAUAAUUAAGAGGCAGAACAUACAACUAAAAAGUACUGUAUUCAAGAAUUUGUAUUUAAGUUAAUAAUGUGGUUGAUUAGUAGGACUAACAAUUGCAUUAUUAUUCAUUACCGUCAAGUUUAUUUGUAUUUAAGCUAGUAAUUCGGUUGACUAGUAGGACUAACAAUUGCAUUAUUAUUCAUUACCGUCAAGUUUAUUUGUAUUUAAGCUAGUAAUGCGGUUGACUAGUAGGACUAACAAGUGCUUUAUUGUUCAUUGCUGUUAAGUUAAUUUGUAUUUAAGUUAGUAAUAUGGUUAACUGGUAGGACUAUGAAGUGCAUUAUUUUUCAUUACUGUCAAGUUAUAUUAAGUACUCCGUUUCAAUUUGUUUGUCUGAUUUAAUUUUGAACGGAGUUUAACAAAGUGAAGAACAUUUUAAAAUCUUAUGAUCUUAAAUUAAAACUGUAUAUAAUGAUCAAGUGUAGUAUUUUGAAAUGUGUACUACUGACUUCAAAAUGAUCAAGUGACGUCACUUGAGAAGUGGAUUAGUGACUUGAAAAAUAGUUAAGUGUAGCGACUUGAAAUGUGAAUUAGUUACUUGAAAAUGGCCAAGUGUAGUCACUUGAAAUGUGUACUAGUGAGUUGAAAAUGGUUAAUUAUAGUGACUUGAAAAUGUUUAAGUAUAGUGACUUGAAAUGUCAAUUAGCUAUUUGAAAAUGGUUUGAGUGUAGUGACUUGAAAUGUGUACUAGUGACUUGAAAAUGAUCAAGUGUAGUUACUUGAAAUUGUGAAUUUAUGACUUGAAAAUAAUUAAGUGUAGUUAUUUAAAAUUGUGAACUUGUGACUUGAAAAUGGUUAAGUUUAGUCAAUUGAAAUGUGUACUAAUAACUUGAAAAUAAUAAAGUAUCGUUACUUGAAAAUUGUUAAGAAUAGUAACUUCAAAUGUGAAUUAGUUACUUGAAAAUGAUUAAGUGUAGUGACUUGAAAUGUGAACUAGUCACUUGAAAAUGGUCAAGUGUAGUCACUUGAAAUGUGUACUAGUGAAUUGAAAAUGGUUUAAGUGUAGUACUUGAAAUGUUUACUAGUGACUUUAAAAUGGUCUAGCCAUUUGAAAUUUUGAACGUGUGACUUUAAAAUGAUUAAGUGUAAUUACUUGAAAUGUAUACUUAUGACUUUAAAAUGAGUAAGUGUAGUGACUUGAAAUGUUUACUUGUGACUUUAAAAUGGUUAAGUGUAGUCACUUGGAUGUGAACUAAGUUACUUGAAAUUGUGAACUUGUGACUUGAAAUAAUUAAAUGUAGUGUCUUGAAAUGUAUACUAGUUACUUGAAAAUAAUUAAGUGUAGUGACUUGAAAUGUAUACUAGUGACUUUAAAAUGAUUAAGUGUAGUGACUUGAAAUGUGUACCAGUGACUUGAAAAUAGUUAAGUGUAGUUACUUGAAAAUGGUUUAAUAUAGUUACUUGAAAUGUGUACUAGUGACUUAAAAAUGGUUAAGUGUAGUUACUUGAAAUGUGAAUUAGUUACUUGAAAGUGGUUAAGUAUAGUGACUUGAAAUGAAUGAUUUAGUGACUUGAAGAUAGUUAAAUAUAGUUAUUUAAAAUGUGAAGUACUUACUUGAAAAUGGUUAAGUACAUUGACUUGAAAUGUGAGUUAAUUAUUUGAAAAUAGUUAAGUAUAGUGAUUUGAAACGUAUACUAGUGACUUGAAAAUGAUUAAGUGUAGCGACUUGCAAUGUGAAUUAGUUAUUUGAAAAUCGUUAAGUGUAGUGACUUGAAAUGUGUGCUAGUGAGUUGAUAAUGGUUAAGUGUAGUUACUUGAAAUGUGAAUUUGUGUUUUGAAUUUACUAAAGUGUGGUAACGUGAGAACUGAUUUAAUAACUUGAAAAUAUUUAAGUUUAGGUACUUGAAAGGUGAACUUUUAUUUUGAAUUUACUCAAGUGUGGUCACUUGAGAAGUGAAUUAGUUACUUGAAAAUCCAAUUGUUGGGGGGGGUGGGGGUGGGGUGGAUAAGUGCGGAUAACUUGGGUAAAAAAUAGAUCUAUUAUAGCUCUAAUGGAUCUAUUUUUAUUUGUGCGUGGAUAUUUCUUAACUUCUCUAAACAUUUUUUAUUUUUAGUGUAUUUAUUUUAAUUUUAUUAAUGUUCAUAUCUUGGGGGUGAUUAGAUGGUAUUUGAUUAAAUGCUUUACUGUAAUAUUCUUUAGUUUUUUUCACUUAGUCUUUGUAAUUCUUGUAUAUUAUUUUGGAGGUAUUCAAAAUAUUCUAUAUCUUUUAUUCUAAAAUAUUCAAUUAAAGUAUUUCUGUUAAUCUCAUUUCUUCCAUAUCUUGUCCCUAAUAGUUUAAAUACUCAUAGUAUAUCAUUUUAUCCUAAAGUAGUUGUGAUACUGCAAAUUUCUUUGGAAUAAUUUAUUCUAAUUGUACUAUAUCUGAUAUUAAGUUCUAGGUUAUCUAUUUUGCUAAUUAUCCUGUCUUUUUCGUCUAUGAAUAAUUAUAUAUCUAAAUCAUAUUCUAAACUGUCUUUUAAUUCUAAUUGUUUUAUGGUUUUAUUUAUCCAAAUUAAUCUUUCUUUUAAUUAUUCUCUUCCUUUUCUAAGCUGGUUUCUAUAAUUAAUUUCUUCGUAUAGCCAACUUUGUUCUUUGAAUAUAUUCUAGCAUUUCUUAAUCUGUAUAAUAUCCAUCUGAAUAAUUAUCUAGGUAGUAAUAGUGAUUGUCAUCACUUAAGUAUAUUUCUCCUAACUCAUCUUCUAUCUGAUUUAUAUCUAACUCUUCAUCUUCAAUGUUAAAUAUUUUUUCCCAUAUUAUUUUUUUUACGUUUAUAAUUUCUAUAUCUCUAAGUAUGUAUAAAACUAGUGCUUCAAAAUUAUCUAUCAUUUAGGUGGGUUAAUUAAAUUCUUUUUCAUAAUUUUCUUUAGUUGUUUGUUUUAAUCUUAUUAAUUCCUCUAUAUUUUCAUUAAGAUAUUCUGGUUUAGUAUGUAGGUAUAUGUAAGAGUAGUUAGGUAGGUGUGAUAUAUAAUUUAUUCUAGUCAUAAAACAUUUAUCAAAUAUUUUUUUCAAUAUUAUUUUUCUUAUAUCUACAAUUUCUAUAUCCUUAAGUACAUACAAAACAAGUAUUUUAAAUUUAUCUAACAUUUCGUCAGAUAAAUAAGUAUUCAUUUUUCAUAUGAUGCCUUUUCAAAAUAUUCCCUUCAAUCAUACACAUAACAAAAUAUGAUCAUUUUAGAUUACUAUAUACUAGAUUAUUCUUAAAUAACAUGUUCUCUGGUCACUAUUAGCAUGGUAAUCUGGAUACUAUUCCCUUAAACAGUGCCUCUACUCUGGCUACUCCCCUAUCACGGCUUUCUUGCCUCAUCGGUUUCACCCUUAGGAUGACAUAGUUCUUAGAGAUUUUUUUCCUUUUCUGCUUUGCUAAUAAACUUCUUAACAUGCUAUUUUUUUAAUAAUUCUACUAUAAAGUAACUAACAAGAACUUAUUUUAUGAAAUCAUGAUUGUCAGGAAUUUAUGAAUUUAGCUAUUCAUAAUCGUAAAUAAAUAUACCUGUUCUGGUAGGUUUGAUAAUUCUGAGCUUUGUUCAUCUAUAGCUUUUCCUUAGAAAUAUAUCUGUUUUUUAUUAAAUAUUCA
rnacentral:lncRNA from 1 species